GUCCUCAAGACUGCUAUCCCUUUUUUUUUGUUGGGCACUACUUUAUUUCACCAUGGGAGCUGCCCGUUCUCGUUUUCUCGUCCUGGCCAUGCUCAUGAUUGUGUUGCUCUACUUGUCGCUGGUCAGCAGCGCUCGCAAGAGCGGCCUCAUGCCGGCUGCCCCGGGCAGCCACGCUGGCCGCAAUAACCCUCCGGUUUCUUCCCAUAGCGGCCAUCCCCAAGCUUCUCAUGAAACCCGACUGAACACCGGCUAUCGGGCCCAUGUGCUCAUGGACGACUAUGGUCACGGAAGUCCUAAUCCUCCACGUCAUUGUUGUGGCCAUUGAGGAGCCGGUUUGACGGCAUGAUGACGUGAUGAAAGAUGAGGAGAAAAAAAUUCACAAUAAUAAGCCAAAUAUGGCACACUCCCUAGCUACAUUCAUUAUUGUGUCCAUAACUCUAUCUAUAUUGUGUUUACUCUUGAUUGUCCUUGUUGGCAUGGUGAUGACUCAAAGCUGAUGAGGACUGCGGUCUCAGCUAAAAUAAUCAUAGCUUUUAGGUACCGGCUUUCGUAAUUUGUUCAGGGUUGCAUAUUUGGUAUUGUUCAAAGAGUAAAAUAUAUGAAUAGCCAUUGUACUUGUUAGCCUA